GUUUUUACCGGCGAUGUUGUAAACAAGUCGGUGACAGCCUGCGAGCCCAGCAGGGAGAGCAGAGGCACGUCAGUAUGAUGAGCCGCACCAGAAAGUAAACCGGGCCCGGGGAUCAGACUACUUGUUGGCACAACACAGUUGAAUUGUGUGAUCUUUGAAGCCCACAAAGUCAUGGAGGCCUCAGAGAACCUCGACGAGCAAAUGGUGAAGAAAUCAAACAGUGAUUCUCAUGUUCCAGACCCUUCAGACAGCAGGUCUAUGGAAAUGCAGGACCUAGCCAGUCCUCAUAAUCGGCUGGGCAGCAGUGAUUCCAGUGGCUCCAAGUUGGAUAAGAACAACCUCGGCAGCACCUCCGCAAUCACCGCCAAUGGAACAGGAGUGAAAACAGAGCCGAUGAACAACAGUGAUGCAGUUACCACGACAGGCGACGCAGUAUUGGACUCUUACGCUGGCUCAGUCAUCACUAGCUGUGGAUACAGUCCUCGCUCAACACACCAGUACUCUCCUCCCCUCUACCCGUCUAAGCCGUACCCUCACAUCCUGUCCACGCCACCAGCCCCGUCCAUGCCAGCGUACGCGGGCCAGCCGCAGUUCAGCAGCAUGCAGCAGUCCACCGUCUACACGUACUCACAAACGGGGCAGGCUUAUGGACUGUCUGGCUAUGACCUGGGUGUGAUGCUGCCAGGCAUCAAGACGGAGAGUGGCCUGGCCCAGAGUCAGUCUCCUCUCCAAACGGGCCUCAGCUACAGCCCCGGCUUCACCACACCCCAGCCCGGCCAGACGGCCUACUCGCCCUAUCAGAUGCCAGGUUCAAGUUUUACCCCUUCCUCAGGCCUCUACGCCACCAACAACUCAGUGUCCAGUCCUGCCAACUACACUGCAGCUCAGCAGGAAUAUCCCUCGUAUACAAGCUUUGGCCAAAACCAGUACGCCCAGUAUUAUUCCGCCUCCCCGUACGGGACGUAUAUGACCCCGAGCAGCAUCGACGGGAACGGCACCACCGUCGCCGCCUACCAGUUGCAGGACCCCACGCCUGGCAUGACGGGCCAGGCAGCAGAGCUUCACCCAGGGGACUUUGACACGGUGCAGAGGCCCUCCACACCCAUCAAGGACCUGGAUGAGCGAGCCUCCCGGAGCGGUGGAUCUAAGUCGCGGGGCAGGAGCCGUAAGAACAACCCCUCGCCUCCGCCAGACAGCGACCUGGAGAGGGUUUUUGUGUGGGAUCUGGACGAGACCAUCAUCGUCUUCCAUUCUCUGCUCACAGGCUCGUAUGCACAGAAAUAUGGCAAGGACCCUCCUUUGGCGGUCACGCUGGGCCUGAGGAUGGAGGAGAUGAUCUUCAAUUUGGCUGACUCGCACUUAUUCUUCAAUGACUUAGAGGAGUGUGAUCAGGUACAUAUUGAUGACGUGUCAUCUGAUGACAACGGGCAGGACUUAAGUACUUACAGUUUUGCAACUGAUGGCUUCCAUGCAGCUGCGACCAGCGCCAAUCUGUGCCUCGCCACAGGCGUCCGCGGCGGCGUCGACUGGAUGAGGAAACUGGCCUUCCGCUACCGACGUGUCAAAGAGUUGUAUAGCACUUACAAAAACAAUGUGGGGGGUCUACUAGGUCCCGCUAAAAGAGACGCCUGGCUGCAGCUGCGAGCCGAGGUGGAGGCUCUGACCGACUCCUGGCUCACUCACGCCCUCAAGUCACUGUCCAUCAUCAGCUCCAGGAGUAACUGCGUCAACGUGCUGGUGACCACGACGCAGCUCAUACCGGCACUGGCGAAAAUUCUCCUCUAUAGUCUCGGCUCUGUGUUCCCCAUUGAGAACAUCUACAGCGCGACAAAAAUAGGCAAAGAGAGCUGUUUUGAGCGUAUAGUGUCCCGCUUUGGCACUAACAUUACAUAUGUUGUGAUUGGCGAUGGCAAGGAUGAGGAGCAUGCAGCCAGCCAGGAAAAGAGAGUUGCUUUGAGCGCAUAAUGCAAAGGUUUGGCAGGAAAGUAGUGUAUGUUGUAGUGGGGGACGGUGCGGAAGAGGAGCAGGCGGCCAAAAAGCACAACAUGCCCUUCUGGAGGAUAUCCAGCCACUCUGACCUGCUGGCGUUGCAUCAAGCACUGGAGUUCGAGUACCUGUAACUGUUCAAAAUAAGGACUUGUCACAAAGAAAGUACUCAUACCUUUUUGUAAAACUAUUUAAAAAGAAACUAUACACUGCAUUUUACUUUGUCCAAACGCCAGGAUUUACAAACUGAAUGGUCUUAAAAGCAGCAAAUGGAGAACUAAGAGGUGUUCUGAGAAUCCACACACAAAAAGUACUGUCCAGACUUAAAAGCUGGAGGUCUCUGUACAGGCAGCAAGUACAUCAGAUGAUUUUGUUCUUUUUUUGUUUUCCUUUCUAGUCCGUCCGAGGCAGACGCCUGUGUAAAUUAUUUGCAAUAAAAGUGAAGGGCCGAAGUGUGGGUGUCGAAGUUUCAUGUUUUUUUUUUUUUUUUUUGGGGGGGGGGGGGUGUUUUGGUGCGGUGAAUGGGUUGAAUAUGUGUAACGUGUUGUGCCUUAAUGUGUUUUCAUCUGUUCUUUUAAGAAGUGUAAAUAUUAAACAAGAAUAAAAUAAGUAUUGUCUUUUGACUGUUUACUACAAAUAAAGUGUUGGGGCUUCCAAGGGCCACCAAGAGAAAUCAACAGUUGCAGGAGGCACUUUGAAAUUCUUGUACACACUAAAAACCAUUGUCAAAAUUUUG